UGCACUGUAAAAUGUAAUAGCUGAGCUUACUAAAAAGAUUAAGUAAACUUAACUUAUUUAAUUAAGUUUGUUAACCUUACUUAGUUUAACUAAGUAAUCCCAACUUUUUUCUAUGCAAACUCAAGUCAACUUGAUUAAACUUAACAGAUUAAUUUAGCUCAACUUAAAAUUUCAAGUAUUUUCAAAAAGGAUGACUGCACAGUAGGUGGCAGUAAUGCUCCCAAGGAGUAAGUGGUGGCUUAACUGAGUGGUUAACUGAAGAAGACGACAACAGCACAUGGUCGGAUAAGAGCAUGAGGAGGUAAGUUUGUGCUUAUAUAUCAUUUUUAUUUUUUAAUUGCUACGUUUUUAUCGCAAUAUUACAAUCACAGUUUGUAAACAGUAAUAUUUUGUCGGUAAUAAUAAAACUGAUGCAUGCUAUUUGAUCACAAUUAGCAAUCCAACAACUGCUAAUCAUGUAUGUUUAAAGAUAAACAUUUUCGUUCAACAGACAUAAGUAACUAAUAUGCAGAGGUAGAUUGAGUAAAAAUGUAAUUAUAUAAAAAGUUAGUUAAAGUUAAGCCUUAUAGUAAUAACUGCUUGAGUAAAAGUAUGCAAUGGAAAAACUGCUUAAGUAGUGAGUUUAAAAUUUGUGUUGGUGUGGUUUAUAAUAAUAAACUACAUGAAAAUGCUUAGAACUGCUUAUAAAAGGUAAAAUAGCACAUUUAAAGUAGGUGCUUUCAAAAUUGUUACUCAAGUCAAUGUAAUGCAGUAAGCAUGUUUCUACCCACCUCUGGAGAAAAAACAUUAAUAAAUUCAUACCUUAAAAUGCCAAGUUAUGUUAAAUAAGAGAUGUGCUGUAUAAAAAGUUUUAAGUUUAUAGAGUGAAUGCUAAAAAUGUUGUUUUUACAAUUGCUUUUUAGUAUCUAUCAAUCAAUAUACUAUGUUAAUUGUAUUAUUAUUUAGCAGGAGUUUGUUUCUUUGAAGAGAGCGCAGAUACCCUUCAUGGAAAGUCAGUAACGUUACUGUGGAGUACAACCAAGUCGCAAGCAAAAACCUCAGGCAAGAAUUGUUCUCAUCCCUUGCUAAACAUUGUUUUUGAAGAUUUUGAAUUAAACAAAAGUUUAAAAGCUCUCUUGAGUAUCUAAUAAACAUCACUGAUGUCACUGCUCGGUGGACGGUAGUUCUCCGUGGUCUUGCUAUCCUUCUUGCGGAAGACACUACAGACUUCCUGAAAACAAACAUGGACUGUGAUGGUGACCCACCUCAACUAUCAAUAGGAAUUCUCAGUCUGGUGCCGGAGGACAGACAUUUCUCCACAUGGUUUACAGCAAUUAUUUGGUAGGGUGUCACAGCCAUGGAUGGACUUGAGAAAGUAUCACAUGCCAUGUGUUUAGCUUUUGGACUGAUCGUUGUUUUAAAUAUGGAGUACCUCUUCACAGCUUAUUUUGAGUUGAUUCACAGGGUUUUUCUUUCCCUGGGGCACAAAUCACUAAAGUCAAAACUGCCAUCACUACAAAACAUACUAAUGUGAAGUAGUGUGUUUUGUGUGAAACAAGUCUGUGUUACUUUAGAUCUGUUGCAUUUUGGGGUUUUUAUUUUUCGUCAACCUGGAUACAAGUUCCAGAAAAACUCAACUUUAAUUGCUGCAAAACUUUGAUGUUUUAGUUAAGCUGUAUUUUGCGUGUUUCUGAUGGCAGAAACAAGAUUGUUACUGUAGGUCUGUUGAUGCAAUUUGUGAUUUUUUAUCAGUCACAUGACAACCUGGAUACAAAACCAAAACUGCAGUCACUAAAAAAAACUAGUUUUGAAUUUGUUUGUCAAGGUGUGUUCAUUGUGUUUGUAAUAACAGAAACAAGAAUGUCUUAGGUCUAUUGUUGCAUUUUGGGUAUCCAGAUUGAUGGGUGACUGAACACAAACCCCUUUCUUGUGAGUGUGUGUGUGUGUGUGUGUGUGUGUGUGUGUGUGUGUGUGUGUGUGUGUGUGUGUGUGUGUGUGUGUGUGUGUGUGUG